ACUGCGAGUGAAGCGGGAAAAGCUCAAAUUUAAAAUCUGGUAGUCUUUGGCUGCCCGAGUUGUAAUCUAGAGAAGUGUUAUCCGCGUUGGACCGUGUACAAGUCUCCUGGAAUGGAGCAUCAUAGAGGGUGAGAAUCCCGUCUUUGACAUGGACUACCAGUGCUUUGUGAUGCGCUCUCAAAGAGUCGAGUUGUUUGGGAAUGCAGCUCAAAAUGGGUGGUAAAUUCCAUCUAAAGCUAAAUAUUGGCGAGAGACCGAUAGCGAACAAGUACCGUGAGGGAAAGAUGAAAAGAACUUUGGAAAGAGAGUUAAACAGUACGUGAAAUUGCUGAAAGGGAAACGCUUGAAGUCAGUCGCGUUGACCAGAAAUCAACCUUGCUUUUGCUGGGCGUACUUUCUGGUCAAUGGGUCAGCAUCAAUUUUGACUACUGGAAAAAGUGUGAAGGAAUGUGGCAUCCUCGGAUGUGUUAUAGCCCUUGUUCGCAUACAGCGGUUGGGAUUGAGGAACUCAGCACGCCGUAAGGCCUGGUUUCGACCAUGUUCGUGCUUAGGAUGCUGGCAUAAUGGCUUUAAUCGACCCGUCUUGAAACACGGACCAAGGAGUCUAACAUGCCUGCGAGUGUUUGGGUGGAAAACCCAAGCGCGCAAUGAAAGUGAAAGUUGAGAUCCCUGUCGUGGGGAGCAUCGACGCCCGGACCAGACCUUUUGUGACGGAUCCGCGGUAGAGCAUGUAUGUUGGGACCCGAAAGAUGGUGAACUAUGCCUGAAUAGGGUGAAGCCAGAGGAAACUCUGGUGGAGGCUCGUAGCGAUUCUGACGUGCAAAUCGAUCGUCAAAUUUGGGUAUAGG
rnacentral:rRNA from 1 species